CCUACGGGCGGCAGCAGUGAGGAAUAUUGGUCAAUGGCCGGGAGGCUGAACCAGCCAAGUCGCGUGAGGGAAGACGGCCCUACGGGUUGUAAACCUCUUUUGUCAGGGAGCAAGGUGCAGGUCGGGACCUGCUGUGAGCGUACCCGAAGAACAAGCAUCGGCUAACUCCGUGCCGGCAGCCGCGGUAUUACGGAGGAUGUGAGCGUUAUCCGGGUUUAUUGGGGUAAAAGGGUGCGCAGGCGGAGGCACAAGUCAGCGGGAAACUCGCGGGGCUAAACCCCGCUUCGCAGUUGAAACUGUGUCCCUUGAGUGCGCGAAGGGUAGGCGGAAUGCGUGGUGUAGCGGUGAAAUGCAUAGAUAUCACGAAGAACUCCGAUCGCGAAGGCAGCCUACCGGCGCGCAACUGACGCUCAUGCACGAAAGCGUGGGUAUCGAACAGGAUUAGAUACCCUUGUAGUC
rnacentral:rRNA from 1 species